rnacentral:ncRNA from 1 species
GAUCUUCAGGGCAGGGUGAGAUUCCCGACCGGCGGUAAAGUCCGCGAGCGCAGUAGCGCACGAUCCGGUGCGAUUCCGGAACCGACAGUAAAGUCUGGAUGGGAGAAGAG